CGCUGGCGGUAUGCCUUACACAUGCAAGUCGAACGAGAGUUUUUAACUCUAGUGGCGGACGGGUGAGUAACACGUGAGAAUUUACCUUUAGGAGGGGGAUAACAUUUGGAAACAAUUGCUAAAACCCCAUAUGCUUCCGAGUAAAAAAGAUUUAUCUGCCUAAAGAAAAGCUCGCGGCUGAUUAGCUAGUUGGUAAGGUAAUGGCUUACCAAGGCGACGAUCAGUAUCUGGUUUGAGAGGACGAUCAGACACACUGGAACUGAGACACGGUCC
rnacentral:rRNA from 14 species